ACUUAGAUAGUUUAAUAAAAAUUUUGAUUUGUGAUGUCAAAGAUAUAAGAAAAUCUUAUUUUAGGUC
rnacentral:tRNA from 1 species